GAAAGUAAACAAGGGCGCAUGGAGGAUGCCUAGGCUCUCGGAGGCGAAGAAGGACGUGAUAAGCUGCGAAAAGUUACGGUAAGGCGCAAAUAGCCCUAGACCCGUAAAUAUCCGAAUGGGGCAACCCGGCCAGCAAUGGUCAUACCGCCAAGCGGUAAGCCAACGCGGGGAACUGAAACAUCUAAGUACCCGCAGGAAAAGAAAAUAACAAUGAUUCCGCCAGUAGUGGCGAGCGAACGCGGAACAGCCCAAACCACUCGUGUUACGGCACGAGUGGGGUAGAAGGAUCCACGAUACGGCAAGAAAUAAGUUAGCAGAAUACGAUGGAAAUCGUAGCCAAAGACGGUGACAGCCCAGUACGCGAAAACCGACAGAAGCCCAGUGGACACCUGAGUAACCCAGGACACGAGAAAUCCGGGGCGAAUCAGCGGGGCCCAUCCCGUAAGGCUAAAUACUCCCGAGAGACCGAUAGCGAACCAGUACUGUGAAGGAAAGGUGAAAAGAACCUCGAACAGAGGAGUGAAACAGACCCUGAAACCAUGCGCCUACAAGCGGUCGGAGCAUGUUAAAAUGUGACGGCGUGCCUUUUGCAUAAUGAACCUACGAGUUACUCUCGCUGGCAAGGUUAAGCGAUUCAGUCGCGCAGCCGAAGCGAAAGCAAGUCCGAACAAGGCGUACAGUCAGCGGGAGUAGACGCGAAACCAAGUGAUCUACCCUUGGUCAGGUUGAAGGUUGGGUAACACCAACUGGAGGACCGCACCGAUAAGCGUUGAAAAGCUUACGGAUGAACUGAGGGUAGGAGUGAAAGGCCAAUCAAACUUGGAGAUAGCUCGUACUCCCCGAAAUGCAUUUAGGUGCAGCCUCGAAGUAAAGUGAUAGAGGUAGAGCGACUGAUAAGAUGCGAGGGCUUCACCGCCUAUCAAGUCUUGACAAACUCCGAAUACUAUCACUUGAUCUUUGGGAGUGAGGGCAUGGGUGCUAAGGUCCAUGUCCGAAAGAGGAACAACUCAGACCACCAGCUAAGGUCCCGAAAUAAGGGCUAAGUUGAAUAAACGAAGUAAAACUGCAAAGACAGCUAGGAUGUUGGCUUGGAAGCAGCCAUUCAUUUAAAGAGUGCGUAACAGCUCACUAGUCGAGGAGUUUUGCAUGGAUAAUAAUCGGGCAUAAGCCCUUUACCGAAGCUGUGGAUGUCGUAAGACAUGGUAGGGGAGCAUUCCGGCGGCGACGAAGGCCGUCCUCGAGGACGACUGGAGCUUUCGGAAAAGCAAAUGUAGGUAUAAGUAACGAUAAAGGGGGCGUGAAACCCCCUCGCCAUAAGACUAAGGAUUCCUGAUCAACGCUAAUCGGAUCAGGGUAAGUCGGGCCCUAAGGCGCAGCCGAACGGCGUAGCCGAUGGAAGAAACGGUAAAGAUUCCGUUACUGGAUAUAGGAGCGAUGUGGAGACGGAGAAGUGACACACCCGCCUGCCGACGGAAGCGCAGGUUAAAGGAAGUAGGUAAACGCCGGGUAGGCAAAUCCGCCUGGCGUGCCGAAACUGACAGUAUCGAGAGCCCCCGGGCAAUCGAAUAGCGGUGGUAAUCAGGCUCCCAAGAAAAUCCGCUAAGCAUAUUCUAUAUCCACCCGUACCCCAAACGGACACACGUAGUCGGGUAGAAUAUACCAAGGCGCUCGAAAGACUCACGGUUAAGGAACUAGGCAAAUUGACCCUGUAACCUCGGGAAAAAGGGUCCCCAGUAAGAUGGGGCGCAGAGAAUAGGUCCAGGCAACUGUUUAACAAAAACACAGGGCUGUGCGAAAUUUCAAGAUGAAGUAUACAGCCUGACACCUGCCCGGUGCCGGAAGGUUAAGAGGAGAGCUAAUCGCAAGAGAAGGCUUGAAUUGAAGCCCCGGUAAACGGCGGCCGUAACUAUAACGGUCCUAAGGUAGCGAAAUUCCUUGUCGGGUAAGUUCCGACCUGCACGAAUGGUGUAAUGAUCUGGACACUGUCUCAACCGUGACUUCGGUGAAAUUGUAGUAUCGGUGAAGAUGCCGAUUACCCGCAACGGGACGAAAAGACCCCGUGAACCUUUACUGCAACUUAGCAUUGCGUUUGGGCAUUUGAUGUGUAGGAUAGUCCGGAGGCUACGAGUCGGCACGCCAGUCGUCGAGGAGCCGCUGUUGAAAUACGGACCUUCGAAUGUUUGAGCGCUAACUCGCAGGAGCGAGGACACUGUUUGGUGGGUAGUUUGACUGGGGUGGUCGCCUCCA
rnacentral:rRNA from 1 species